rnacentral:rRNA from 1 species
GUCUAAGUAUAAGCAACUAUACCGUGAAACUGCGAAUGGCUCAUUAAAUCAGUUAUCGUUUAUUUGAUAGUACCUUACUACUUGGAUAACCGUGGUAAUUCUAGAGCUAAUACAUGCUAAAAGCCCCGACUUCGGAAGGGGUGUAUUUAUUAGAUAAAAAACCAAUGCCCUUCGGGGCUCCUUGGUGAUUCAUAAUAACUUAACGAAUCGCAUGGCCUUGUGCCGGCGAUGGUUCAUUCAAAUUUCUGCCCUAUCAACUUUCGAUGGUAGGAUAGUGGCCUACCAUGGUUUCAACGGGUAACGGGGAAUUAGGGUUCUAUUCCGGAGAGGGAGCCUGAGAAACGGCUACCACAUCCAAGGAAGGCAGCAGGCGCGCAAAUUACCCAAUCCCGACACGGGGAGGUAGUGACAAUAAAUACUGAUACAGGGCUCUUUUGGGUCUUGUAAUUGGAAUGAGUACAAUUUAAAUCCCUUAACGAGGAACAAUUGGAGGGCAAGUCUGGUGCCAGCAGCCGCGGUAAUUCCAGCUCCAAUAGCGUAUAUUAAAGUUGUUGCAGUUAAAAAGCUCGUAGUUGAACCUUGGGCCUGGUUGGCCGGUCCGCCUCACCGCGUGCACUGGUCCGACCGGGUCUUUCCUUCUGGGGAACCGCAUGCCCUUCACUGGGUGUGUCGGGGAACCAGGACUUUUACUUUGAAAAAAUUAGAGUGUUCAAAGCAGGCCUAUGCUCGAAUACAUUAGCAUGGAAUAAUAAAACAGGACUCGUGGUUCUAUUUUGUUGGUUUCUAGGACCGCAGUAAUGAUUAAUAGGGAUAGUCGGGGAUAUCAGUAUUUAGCUGUCAGAGGUGAAAUUCUUGGAUUUGCUAAAGACUAACUACUGCGAAAGCAUUUAUCAAGGAUGUUUUCAUUAAUCAGUGAACGAAAGUUAGGGGAUCGAAGACGAUCAGAUACCGUCGUAGUCUUAACCAUAAACUAUGCCGACUAGGGAUCGGGCGAUGUUAUUUUUUUGACUCGCUCGGCACCUUAC